GAAAGUAAAGCGGACUUUUAUUCACCAACCCCGGGACGAAGGGAAUUAACCCCAAAGUUUACUUAGCCGACAGUACUUUGGCCCUGGAGCAGACAGCAACGCCUCCCCCUGCAAACUCCGACUACGGUCAGAGACGGACCGGCAGGAAAGGUGAACACAAGGCUAACGAAGUUAAUUGUCAACAUUAAUGUGCCUGUCAUGGUAUGAGGCCAGACAUGGCCCGUGCAAAGUCAUGCCACCAGUCUGAGGACAUCACUGGGAAUGGCACAUGGGACACGUGGCUUUCAACUCCAGCGAGCACACGGCACAGGUUGGCGUCACCGUGGGCAAUCAUGGCAAAGUUGACUGGACCACAGCGGAAAAUGAUCCUUCCAGAGAAGAAGUUAUUUACUUCUACAAUGAAUGGAAGAGUUACAACUUCCAGAUGACAGCUCUCCGCUCAUCCUUCUGGGCAACUUAAACAUCCGACAGAACUUAUGUGACCCUACUGCGUUUUAUUUUCUCCUUUAGCUCUCAUUUAAGUAUUAAAAUUCGCUGUAUUUUUGCAAGAGAGGCACCAAUCCUAUUUGAGUGACGUUUCGAUUGUGAAAUUGUAUUGGACCAUAUAGGUCAUCUGCAGAGCGUUGGCCCCUGGCGCAGUAAACCAGGGUUUGAUUCUUGGCAUGCACAAGACUCCUCAUGUGACUUAAAAUGAAUCCAGAAUGCAAUAUUUGUUCAGUAUGCAACGGCAGUGAUUUAUUUAGUCAUGUUUGGUCAUGUUUUGGUUUUUUUACAUGACAAUAUGGUUUGGUACAUGCUGAGUUAAUGAAUAUACAUUCUAAAGUGCAAUGUCCAUAUGUGAAUAAGAGUUGUAUACGUUUAUCAUAGUCAAUAUGGUAUGGAAAUAUCCCUUAUGUAGUUGGUCAAUGGGAACUAUAGUAGGCCGUAAUAACAGCUAAGGUAAUUACAGGUG